rnacentral:rRNA from 1 species
AGCGAACGCUGGCGGCGUGCCUAACACAUGCAAGUCGAACGUGAAAGGGAGCAAUCCCAAGUAAAGUGGCGUACGGGUGAGUAACACGUAGGUAAUCUACCCCAGAAUCUGGAAUAACCGGCCGAAAGGCUGGCUAAUACUGGAUAGAGCGACGGAAUCCGUAAUUGGGUUUUUCGGGAAAGGGAGCCUGUAAAAAGGCCUUCGUUCUGGGAUGAGCCUGCGUCCCAUCAGCUAGUUGGUGAGGUAAAAGCUUACCAAGGCAAUGACGGGUAGCUGGUCUGAGAGGACGAUCAGCCACACUGGAACUGAAACACGGCCCAGACUCCUACGGGAGGCAGCAGUGGGGAAUCUUGCGCAAUGGACGAAAGUCUGAAGCAGCAACGCCGCGUGAGUGAAGAAGGCCUUCGGGCUGUAAAGCUCUGUCGAGUGGGACGAAAAUGCUUGGAGUUCACAGCUCCAGGAACUGACGGUACCACUAAAGGAAGCACCGGCUAACUCCGUG